rnacentral:rRNA from 1 species
GAUGAACGCUGGCGGCGUGCCUAAUACAUGCAAGUCGAGCGAAUGGAUUAAGAGCUUGCUCUUAUGAAGUUAGCGGCGGACGGGUGAGUAACACGUGGGUAACCUGCCCAUAAGACUGGGAUAACUCCGGGAAACCGGGGCUAAUACCGGAUAACAUUUUGAACCGCAUGGUUCGAAAUUGAAAGGCGGCUUCGGCUGUCACUUAUGGAUGGACCCGCGUCGCAUUAGCUAGUUGGUGAGGUAACGGCUCACCAAGGCAACGAUGCGUAGCCGACCUGAGAGGGUGAUCGGCCACACUGGGACUGAGACACGGCCCAGACUCCUACGGGAGGCAGCAGUAGGGAAUCUUCCGCAAUGGGCGAAAGUCUGACGGAGCAACGCCGCGUGAGUGAUGAAGGCUUUCGGGUCGUAAAACUCUGUUGUUAGGGAAGAACAAGUGCUAGUUGAAUAAGCUGGCACCUUGUCGGUACCUAACCAGAAAGCCACGGCUAACUACGUGCCAGCAGCCGCAGUAA